rnacentral:lncRNA from 1 species
UGAGUCAUUAGUUAGAAUAAUACUUGGUUUAUGCAUUCUCUGGGAAAAUAUGAGUUGUUUGAGUCUUGAGAAUUGCUUACCUUGACGUCUGUUGAUAUAUCGCCCUUGUUAUAGAUCUGCCCCAGAUUCGAGAGGUUUUUCGCUAUUUGGACUGCAUCAGCUGAUGGAAGGUCCUGCACAUCGAUGGCACAGUUUUACUUCAUUCGUUACUUCUUGCACAGAGGUCAGUAUUCUUCAUAAGAACUCUGACGAAUUUUUAGCAUCACAUGCAUUAUGUUUACUAAACCUUGCAUUUACUUAAUGGCUUAAUGUGAUGGCUAUAUGUAACUAAAGACCUGUGCUUAAUGUGUUUCCUGCUCUAGGCAUUUCGGCUUAAAACAUUCCGAGUUUCCUUAUAGUUAUGAAGCAUUAACAACGCCCAACAAGCUGGUAAUAUCCGUAUUAAUCAUUGAAAUCAUUGUACUCACCGUAGCUUCUGCUGCAGAUUCCACAAUUUCUACAUUGUUGUAGUGGAAAGAAGCAGAAAUAGCUGCUUGCUGGAGGAGAAUGGACCCUAUGGAAAGAGUCGGUGCAACCAAACAGCCCUGUAAGUCAGACCACCACAAUGGUAAAUCUCGAAUCCACUAUUUUUGCUGUAGAGAAUCAGCCAUAAUUUGCAGAAGCUGCAGCUGCAAUAACUACGCAAAAAAUCUCACCCUCUGCUCACCAUGCUGGCUUUGUCGCAGAAUGCCGACAAUGCCCCGACUGUAUCCACUUUAAUCCGAG